CAAAAUAUGAAGGCCUGGCUUUCGCGGCCGGCUGAAGUAUUUUUUUCACCCAUGUCUUUUGCGCACUUGUUGUUUCCUGGGCGGGUUCGCCCGCCACCAGGACCAAACCAUAAACCUUUUUUUCUUAUGCAGUUUCCAUCAGCGUCAGUAAAAACAAUGUAAUUAUUACAACUUUCAACAACGGAUCUCUUGGUUCUGGCAUCGAUGAAGAACGCAGCGAAAUGCGAUACGUAGUGUGAAUUGCAGAAUUCAGUGAAUCAUCGAAUCUUUGAACGCACAUUGCGCCCUUUGGUAUUCCAAAGGGCAUGCCUGUUCGAGCGUCAUUUGUACCUUCAAGCUUUGCUUGGUGUUGGGCGUUUUUUUGUCUCCCUCUUUCUGGGAGACUCGCCUUAAAACGAUUGGCAGCCGGCCUACUGGUUUCGGAGCGCAGCACAUUUUUUGCGCUUUGUAUCAGGAGAAAAGGACGGUACUCCAUCAAGACUCUACAUUUUUCACUUUUGACCUCGGAUCAGGUAGGGAUACCCGCUGAACUUAAGCA
rnacentral:rRNA from 1 species